rnacentral:rRNA from 1 species
AGAGUUUGAUCAUGGCUCAGAUUGAACGCUGGCGGCAUGCCUUACACAUGCAAGUCGAACGGCAGCACGGGAGCAAUCCUGGUGGCGAGUGGCGAACGGGUGAGUAAUACAUCGGAACGUGUCCUGUAGUGGGGGAUAGCCCGGCGAAAGCCGGAUUAAUACCGCAUACGAUCUGUGGAUGAAAGCGGGGGAUCUUCGGACCUCGCGCUACAGGGGCGGCCGAUGGCAGAUUAGCUAGUUGGUGGGGUAAAGGCCUACCAAGGCGACGAUCUGUAGCUGGUCUGAGAGGACGACCAGCCACACUGGGACUGAGACACGGCCCAGACUCCUACGGGAGGCAGCAGUGGGGAAUUUUGGACAAUGGGCGAAAGCCUGAUCCAGCAAUGCCGCGUGUGUGAAGAAGGCCUUCGGGUUGUAAAGCACUUUUGUCCGGAAAGAAAACCUCGUGGUUAAUACCCGUGGGGGAUGACGGUACCGGAAGAAUAAGCACCGGCUAACUACGUGCCAGCAGCCGCGGUAAUACGUAGGGUGCAAGCGUUAAUCGGAAUUACUGGGCGUAAAGCGUGCGCAGGCGGUUCGCUAAGACAGAUGUGAAAUCCCCGGGCUUAACCUGGGAACUGCAUUUGUGACUGGCGGGCUAGAGUAUGGCAGAGGGGGGUAGAAUUCCACGUAGCAGUGAAAUGCGUAGAGAUGUGGAGGAAUACCGAUGGCGAAGGCAGCCCCCUGGGCCAAUACUGACGCUCAUGCACGAAAGCGUGGGGAGCAAACAGGAUUAGAUACCCCUGUAGUCC